GACGAACGCUGGCGGCGUGCCUAAUACAUGCAAGUAGAACGCUGAAGGAGGAGCUUGCUCUUCUGGAUGAGUUGCGAACGGGUGAGUAACGCGUAGGUAACCUGCCUGGUAGCGGGGGAUAACUAUUGGAAACGAUAGCUAAUACCGCAUAAGAGUAGAUGUUGCAUGACAUUUGCUUAAAAGGUGCAAUUGCAUCACUACCAGAUGGACCUGCGUUGGAUUAGCUAGUUGGUGGGGUAACGGCACACCAAGGCGACGAUACAUAGCCGACCUGAGAGGGUGGUCGGCCACACUGGGACUGAGACACGGCCCAGACUCCUACGGGAGGCAGCAGUAGGGAAUCUUCGGCAAUGGACGGAAGUCUGACCGAGCAACGCCGCGUGAGUGAAGAAGGUUUUCGGAUCGUAAAGCUCUGUUGUAAGAGAAGAACGAGUGUGAGAGUGGAAAGUUCACACUGUGACGGUAUCUUACCAGAAAGGGACGGCUAACUACGUG
rnacentral:rRNA from 1 species